AGAGAGAGACAUGCGCGCAUAUCAAUAAGCGGAGGAAAAGAAACUAACAAGGAUUCCCCUAGUAACGGCGAGUGAAGCGGGAAGAGCUCAAAUUUGAAAUCUUAAAGGGUUUCCCUUUACGAAUUGUAGUUUAAAGAAGUGUUUUCUGUUGAGGUUUUGGUAAAAGUUCUUUGGAAUAGGACAUCAUAGAGGGUGAGAAUCCCGUAUUUGACCUUUACUUUCAACUUUGUGAUACACUUUCAAAGAGUCGGAUUGUUUGGGAAUGCAGUCCAAAAUGGGUGGUAAAUUUCAUCUAAAGCUAAAUAUUGGCGAGAGACCGAUAGCGAACAAGUACCGUGAGGGAAAGAUGAAAAGAACUUUGAAAAGAGAGUUAAACAGUACGUGAAAUUGUCAAAAGGGAAGCGUUUGACACCAGUGUUGUUUUUCUGAAAAUCAAUUAAAGAACUGUUUAUGCUAAGCUGUUUAGACUUUAUCAGCUAACUGUUUAGUUUUGAGCUUUUCUUUAAUGCACUUUUCAGUUAACAAGUCAACAUCAAUUUCUUUUGCUGUAAAAAAGCUUGAGGAAGGUGGCUUGAGAUUCGUCUUAAGUGUUUAUAGCCUCUUGCCCAUGCAGUCGGAGAGAUUGAGGUCUGCAGCGUAGAUCCUUCGGGGCUAAAUGCAUUUGUGCUAAGUUAUAGCAUUUUAUAGACAACUUGUUGACUAUGAUUUGUCUUGUAGCUUACUCGCUUAUGUUAUUUUACCUACGCUUAGGAUGUUGAGCGCAUGUCUCUCUCU
rnacentral:rRNA from 1 species